AAUUAAUUUAUUAACUUUGCCAGAUAGUAUUAACAGUUAUUACAAAGUAAUAAUUUAACGAAUUAACUAGACUAUAUGGCAGGGUAUUCGCAACAGCGAUUAGCCAAUUACUGCGAACCCAAGGACAAUACGUUAACAUCAAAUAGCAAAAAAACUAACAACUAACUUCAUGCAUUUAUACAACUAUAUAUUUAGCUAGCUACGGCAACUGAUCAUGCUAUGAUAAUAACAUGCACUAGCUGAAAAGAAAUUGAACAAUAAUCAAUGCAUGCUACCGACUAUAUAAGCAUAGCACGAGCAGUUGCCAUGUAGCUAGCUGUGCUGAAAUUUUCAAUAACAGCAAGAUAUUGGAGACGCUAAACUACGAACACAGUUGCAUUUCAAGCAUAAAGAUCUAAAUGUUCGCGGAUUUUCAGGAUUAUAAGUAAUGUCAACAGAGGUAAAAUAAUAAUUGAGUAAACAUGAUUUAAAUACAGCGAGACUGUCCGUAUGAAGGUCUAUUGCGUCUAUUAGUGUGUUCCAUAUUCUGGAAGUUCUAACGAGGAAGGAUUUCUGGUAGCUGGUUGUUUUACAUCUGGGGAUGACAUACUUGACUGUGUUGCUUGAAUUUGAGCGAGUGGUUCUGCGAGAAUUCUGAAUAACUGGAGAGGCGCUUGUUUUCACUAAACCAUGUGUGAUCUUAAAGAAUAGAAUCAAAUCAAGGUAUUCGUGCCAGUAGCAUAUUGGGAGGAGAUGCAACGACUGCAGUCUUGAUUUAUAGUCUAUAUCCGAGGAGAACGGUACAUUUAGAAUAUAUUUGGUAGCACGUCGUUGGGUUCGUUCAAGAUGGUUGAUAAGUUCUAUUGAUUGUGGUGCCCAAAUUUGUGUUGCAUAACCAAAAUGUGACAGAACUAGGGCCAGGUAGAACAUCCGUCUUGCUUCAGUACUUUUCACGAAUCUGGUGUUUCUUUUGAUGUAGCCAAGGGACUUGUUCGCUUUUGACGUCUGGUUGCACACUUGUUUUUUCCACGUAAGAUUGGAAGACACCCAUACGCCAAGGUCUCUUUCGCAGUCGGUGG